AGAGGAAAGCCCAAAUAGAACAAUAUUUGCUAGCAAUGGGCUUGAGCCAUUACACUACUUCUCGAUAUUAUUUUGGAAUGGUGUGUACGCCUCUUCUUAUCUUUUAAGGAUUGUGAAUCUUUAAUUUUUCUUUUGUAAGAUUCAAGAGAAGAUAUCACAUUAAAGUUUGAAUUGAUAUUCCUUUUCAAUUCAAAGUCUUUUCUUUACAAACUUGGUGGGUUUCACUAUUAGGUUGAAGGAUUAUAAGUUUGCUUCAAGUAUCACACCUGUUCUUUUGCUUUUUACACUUUUUCUAUGAUACCCAAAACACUCAGGUUACCUAAAAAGAUCGAAAAUCAUUUAUACGCUUAAUCAUAUUUUUAGAGUCAAAUAAGCCUACGAUAUACCCAAACACUUGGCCGAAAAUACAUCUCAACUUGUUAAGACAACAUCAUCAACCAGAAGUCCAACGUUCAAAUAAUUACAAGAACGUAAUAUCACUACAAAACAUUUAUAGAAGGCAGAAAACAAAGAUAAACUCAUUUAUAUCCCGUCUUAUCAAUUCACAACCGAUAAUUCCUAUCACUAUCAACAAACAAACAUCCGAAAAACAAAAUCUAAUCUUCAUAACCAAUAUUUUAAGAAAGUGACAAAUCACAAUAAUGUCAAUGAAAUCAGAAACAUACAAGUUCUUUCUUCCAGUUUGGUUUUUUGCUUGAAAAUAAGACCAUGUAAUAUAAUUCAAAUGUAUAAUAAUGGUGUAUAGUAUAGAGGUGGUGGUAGUGGAGCCCCAUGUCCCCUUCCUUUUCCAUUCCUAAACCUAUCUUUUAGGCCAUCUCUGAGAUAUUAUCUUCCCUGAUUUUCAGUGCUUAUACUCUGUGAUAGAGAGGAGAAGCCAUAGCAGCAGAGCUUAAAGAACAAUAAAUAAAAAAAAAAAGUUCGUUCGUUCGUUUCGUGGAUUGAAUGAAAAAAAUGAUCUCGGACCAGGCUUCAUUCCUUACACGUAGCUUUUCCUUGGAAAGUUUUGGAUAUGGGAAAGAUGAAAGACCUUUGAUCAACUUCUGGUAAGCUCUCUUGAAUCUCUUAUGAGGAUCAUAUAUAUAUAUAUAUAUAGACAUAUAUUAUAUCUAUUGUGGCUCUUUCUUUAGGGUUUCAUUGUUCUUAGGAUGAUUUGUGAACAUGGGAUAGCAUUAGAAAUUAUUUCGAGAAAAUAUGGUUGUUUUGGUACACGAUGUUUGAUGAACUGGUGGUAUGUUUUAUUUAGGUGAUAGAUCAAACUAUCGAUUUUUUAGAUGAUAAUUAAUAUUUUAUUUACUGA